AGCAGCCGCGGUAAUUCCAGCUCCAAUAGCGUAUAUUAAAGUUGUUGCAGUUAAAAAGCUCGUAGUUGAAUUUCGGGGUCAGUAGGUUGGUCAUGCCACUGGUAUGUACUGGUCUCACUGAUUCCUCCUUCCUGAUGAGCCGUAAUGCCAUUAAUUUGGUGUUGCGAGGAAUCUGGACUGUUACUUUGAAAAAAUUAGAGUGUUUAAAGCAGGCUAACGCUUGAAUACAUUAGCAUGGAAUAAUGAAAUAGGACGUUCGAUCUUAUUUUGUUGGUUUCUAAGAUUGACGUAAUGAUUAAUAGGGAUAGUUGGGGGCAUUAGUAUUCAAUUGUCAGAGGUGAAAUUCUUGGAUUUAUUGAAGACUAACUACUGCGAAAGCAUUUGCCAAGGAUGUUUUCAUUAAUCAAGAACGAAAGUUAGGGGAUCGAAGACGAUCAGAUACCGUGCGUAGUCUUAACCAUAAACUAUGCCGACUAGGGAUUCGGAUGAUGU
rnacentral:rRNA from 1 species